GCCGGGCUGGGCGGCGGCGGCGCCUGCCUCGUCUACAAUGCGCGGCUGCGGGAGGUGAUCACCGUCUCCUUCCCGGCC
rnacentral:tRNA from 1 species